GCUUGNCCANAUGAAACUAGAUACAAGCGAGCGGCGGACGGGUGAUGUAACACGUGGGUAACCUGCCCAAGAGACUGGGAUAACACCUGGAAACAGAUGCUAAUACCGGAUAACAACACUAGACGCAUGUCUAGAGUUUAAAAGAUGGUUCUGCUAUCACUCUUGGAUGGACCUGCGGUGCAUUAGCUAGUUGGUAAGGUAACGGCUUACCAAGGCAAUGAUGCAUAGCCCGAGUUGAGAGACUGAUCGGCCACAUUGGGACUGAGACACGGCCCANACUCCUACGGGAGGCAGCAGUAGGGAAUCUUCCACAAUGGACGCAAGUCUGAUGGAGCAACGCCGCGUGAGUGAAGAAGGGUUUCGGCUCGUAAAGCUCUGUUGGUAGUGAAAAAAGAUAGAGGUAGUAACUGGCCUUUAUUUGACGGUAAUUACUUAAAAAGUCACGGNUAACUACGUGCCACAGCCGCGGUAUUUCAA
rnacentral:rRNA from 1 species